CCAGAGAUGAUUUUCAUCGGAGACCAGAACACCUAAAUGUGCCCCGUGGACAGAUCGCGGAUCGCACCACAGUCCUUUCUGGUGGCUGAGAAAACCUCACUGUAGAUGCCGAUAUAUCGGAUCUCUCUGCUACUCCAUGCAUCCCUAGUCGUCCCACUGUGUCCAGCACUCCCAGCCGCUCUGGCUGCCCUUCACCUGUUCAACAAGGAAAGAGAAAAAAGGGUGACAUGAGCACUCUGACUCUUGUAUAAGAAAGGAUGGAACAAGAGGAGAUAGACCGCAGACAAACCCACAUAAAAAUGCAUAGCCUUGUUGAUAUGAUGAAGAAACAGGCCCA